CUGCCCCGCCCCACCCCGCCGGAAAUACAAGGAGCGGAAGCGGAAGUGAGGCCGCGUUGCAGGCGGGAGCAGACGCUGCCCGAGAGGCUGGGCGGCGUCAGGGGGCCAUCUGUGCCCUCUCCGCUGGGCCUCCUGCAGGUCCUGCGGCCCUGAACUGCCCGGGGUUAAGGAGGAGCAGGCCUCGCUGACGCCAGGAACGAGGUGUCUGUCGUGAAAGAAAGUUGGUUUCACGAGCGUGGUGAAUCCAUGAGCAGCCCCGGAGACCCCGGACCUCCAGCUGAAGAGCGUUGUUGGCUCCUCACUGGAUGGAAGGAGCGCCUGAGGUCCCGACCGGCCCCAGUCAUCUCUCAACGACUUUUCUGUCACAGAAUAUCCCUUGAUGAAGACCAGGAGAUGGGCCCCAACACCUUUGUCCUACGCUGCCUGCAGUGGACACAGUUGUCGAGAGGACCUUCUACUUGGCCUCUCCACGGGGAGGCUGGAACAAGGAUGUAUUUGUGAGCAGCACAAAGGGUCACAAGUAGACUGGAAACUACCAGACUUGGAGAAAGAGGAUCUGAGUUCAAAUUGUAACUUCACGACAUACUAACACUAUGACUUUAACAAGUGAUUUCAGUUCUUCAUUUCCUAAACAGGUAGGAUAAUACUUAUAUCAUGUGGUUGUUAUGAAAAUCAAGUAAGAUUAAAUAUGUACAUUCAAACAGUUCAGUGCCUGAAGCAUAAUGAUGCUCUCACUAAAACUGGUUGAAUUAGAAAUAAUCACUUUGCAGACUACAUAUCCACAUACCAAUGAUGUUUCAAGUUCACAGCUAUUUGCACAUUUAAAUUCAGAGUGGUGUCUAAUGAAACUUGGGAAUUCAACAUGUAGGGAGAAUUGAAGGCAGCCUCGUAGUUGCUAGUGUAAGAAACUGUCGUAGGCUGGCUUCCUCAGAACACGGACUCCUGGUAAGGAGUUGUAGGAAUGGCACCCAACAAGGGCUGAGGGAGGUUGGACUGGAUAAGAAGAAACGUUGACUUGUGAUGCAGUAAUAAUCAAAUGUCUGCCUAGGAGCUAGGGAGUUGAGCUGGCUCUUAGGGAUGUUCUGAAUUGUGGCAAGGGAGGCAGGCCUGACUUUAGACCUGAUAGUGCCCUUAUAGGGCAAUUUCUGGAGAGAGAUUUAAGUGAGAUGCUUAACCAGACAACCCUCACUGCAGCUGAGGAAAGGGGGGAAGCUGGUACGGAGGGCUUCAGCUCUAAAUUGAGGGAUCUGAGUAAUUUAUCAUAGGAUCCACCUUUAAAAGUAAACCUGAAGGAGUUCCCUUGUGGUGCAGCGGGUUAAGGACCUAAGGAUUGGCAUUGUCAGUUCAGCGAUGUGGCUUCGAUCCCUCUCUAGCUUUUUAUAAUUCCUUGAAUAUGAAUUCAGUGAAUAUGUCUAAAUGAAUACGCCACUUCUCUUUCCCAGUCUCCUUAGAAAGAAACGUAAUGGAGUCUUGGCAGUCACUCAGGGACAUUGGGCCAGGGAGGGAAAUAUUCCGAUCAGCUUCAUCCCCAUCCCCACCCCUGUCUCUAUAAGUCAGCCUGGCCUGAAAUGCCUGUGCUUCUCUAAGGCAGGUGCUGAGAAUAAAUUCACCCGUUAUCCUUCA
ensembl:lncRNA